rnacentral:rRNA from 1 species
UACGGGGGGGGCAAGCGUUGUUCGGAAUUACUGGGCGUAAAGGGCUCGUAGGUGGCCAACUAAGUCAGACGUGAAAUCCCCAGGCUCAACUUGGGAACUGCGUCUGAUACUGGAUGGCUUGAAUCCGGGAGAGGGAUGCAGAAUUCCAGGUGUAGCGGUGAAAUGCGUAGAUAUCGGGAGGAACACCGAUGGCGAAGGCAGGUCUCUGGGCCACUACUGACGCUGAGAAGCGAAAGCGUGGGGAGCGAACAGG